ensembl:lncRNA
AAUAUAAUUAAACAAACACAUUAAGAGAGAAUCAUUAUAAAUCUUUAAAUAUGAGAGAAAAGUGAUUUUUUUUUUUUUUAUUUUUUUUAUGCUUAUUUUGGACACUGUAUUGCUUCAUUCAUAGGGUGAAACCUAGAGCCUUUGUCUUACCUUCAGUUUUGAUUUCCAGCUUUUGGUCACUCGGUCCAGCUCUGUCCAGAAGUCCUGCCUCCACCUCCAUCGCCUUCAUCUCCAUGACAACAAUCUGAACUUUCUGCCUACCUGUUUAGCCUGAAUGGACUCGUUAGUUUAGCUUUGAACCGUUGAUGUUCAUACCAAUUCUUUCAAAUCUGUGCGUUGAAACAAUAUACUAAACCACGAACAGGGCAGCCAAGAGGUCUUGGCCACUUCCUCUCCGACAAGUCGUCGCUUCCCCAUUAAGAGGCGUUUUUAUAUCAUCAUCAAAUAAAUAAUAAUUCUGACCAGUGCUUUGUCAUGCUUCCUCAUCUACACAUAGCUGAUGAUAUUUAAUAAUGAGGAAUUGGGGCAUUUCUAUGUAUUAGUUACUGACAAUGUAACUGUUACGACCCCAAAUAGUAUCCAGGGGGAUCAGGGGAACAGAGGUAACGGUAAGCAGAAAGGUUUGUUGACGUGCCAAAGAACUAAGAACCACUUUCCCAAAAGAGGAAAGCACAAAACAAAAGAACUAACUACAAACCAACCAAAUACUCUACUAGUCAGAACCAAAAGCUCACUACCCGAUCCACAAGAUCAGAAGAUCACACCAACAACGGCACAGCGUCACUAGCUCCAACACACAAACUACAAGCAGUUGAGCUUGCUGGUACAAAAAGGAAGGGAUGUGCGCCUGUCUGCCUCCAGCUUAUAUAGCCAUCAGGUGAUUGCUAGGGUUGCCAUCAGAAAGGGCGGGAAAGGGCAUCAGUCUGGGGAGAGAACACAGUGAAACACAAACACAACACAAACACAACACGCUACGUCCGUAACAUACCCUCCCAUAAGAGCAAACAUGUAAUUGUGCAACAUCAGAGCCACCACAAACUCUAAUUGUCACCACAUGGGAAACCGACAACUCGCUUCACCAUUCACGUGAGUCAGUUACCCGUACAUUCAACACCAAAACAUGUCCAAAUGGGUAACCUACUCUCUUCCCACCUUACCCGCGGGAUAGUGCGUCUGCCACAACAUUCUGUGUCCCCUUCUUGUGCCGGAUCUCCAGAUUCUAACCCUGCACUAACAAAGCCCAAUGCAUUAACCUCUGUUAUGGUUGUACAUCUGGCCUAGGAACACAAGGGUUAUGGUCAGUGUACACAGUUACUGGCAAGAAACUGGAACCAACACCAAUCUCUUCCAUACGUGGAUUUUUUUCCAAGUUUCCAUCUUUAUUUGAUGAAGAAGAACUUCCGAAUACAGAGAAAUACCUUUUCAUUUUUCUGUUUUGCUUAAAAGUGAAUUUCCCGCGACCGUUAGAAAGCCUCUUCCUCAACGUGCGAAUGUUCGGGAAAUGUUGUUUUUUUAGUAGUUCAGCGAAACUGGCGAGCCUAUAAUUCAAAAUACAUUUCCCUACAUGCAUCGCUCCCAUCAUGCUCCCACACAUUCGCGCUUAGCAGUGCCAUUGAAAGUCGUACAGAAAGACGUAUUUUUUUUCGGCACGGGUCCUUCUCACCCUUUCGCACCGGUGCGAGUGGACUUGUAUUUAUCUUCACACGUUAUAUAUUUUAAUAGCAAAUGCGAUCAAAACUGUCGCACUGUACAGCCCUGGAUGGUCAGCCUAGGUGUCAGAGUACACCACCACGUCAUCAAGAUACACAUUGCAAUGGGGCACAUCCCCCCAACACCAGUUGCAUCAGACGCUGAAAAGUACCAGGUGCAUUCCUCAUGCCAAAGGCCAUUACGGUGUACUGCAGGAAAUGGUCAGGUGUUACAAAAGAUGAGAUAUCCGAAGCCCGUGAGGUUAAAGGAACCUGCCAAUAUCCCUUUAACAGGUCUAACUUUGCAAUGAACAAACAUGGUGAGCUCCAAGGGCUGCGACUUGGCUUAGCUAAACCAUUUGACAACAGAUACUCUGGCUCUUUUCUCAUGACCUCCCUUUUUGCCAUAGGGCAACGGUAAGCAUGCUGCUUGAUAGGGGCGACAUUACCGACUUAGACAUCGUGGCUUAACACAUUGGUGCACGAUGGCACAUCAUGGAACAGAGUGGGACAAGAGUGAAGCAAACAGAUUACAUCUUCCCGCUGACAAUCAGAGAGAUAAGAUUGAUGUGUUCCUAUUUCAGACAUCGACUCUGAGUUCAGUAACCUACAACCUUGCGGACCGUAGGCAAUCCAUCAUCAGACAUGGCUUCCCCACAAACCAAUGAAGCAGAAAUUGCUUCGGGAGCAACAGUAUCUGAAGUUACCUUCUCGGACCUCUCCCCUGGAAUGAUAAGGCUUAAGCAUGUUGAUAUGGCAUAGCCGUGUUUUUCGUUGGCGCUCAGGUGUGUGUAUGAUGUAAUCGCCUAAUCGGUGAUUGACACCUUACUCUUCACCACAUACGGACCAGAGAAACGAGCCGUUAGAGCAGAUCCAGGCAAGGGUAGUAAUACCAGAACUGGAUCACCAGGCUGAAACUGCCGUCCAACCGCCUUCCUGUCAAACUGUGUUUUCAUACUGUCCUGGGAUGAGGAGAGUGCCUCUUUAGCCAGCAAGACUGCACGAUGCAGACGCUCCCUACACUUGGAGACAAAAUCCAAUACAUUAGUCUCUUGAGAGGAAUCUGACAUAAACUGCUCCUUCAACACUUUAAGGGGGCCACGCACAUUAUGCCCAAACACUAGUUCAGCUGGGCUGAACCCGAGAGACUCCUGUGUAGCGUCACGAAUUGCAAAGAGAACAAAGGGAAACCCCUCAUCCCAAUCCUUCUCCGUAUCAUGACAGUAUUCCUUGACAUCGACUUCAAAGUCUGGUGCUAACGUUUAAGUGCACCUUGGGACUCUGGAUGGUACGCACUAGACACAGAGUGCGAUAUGCCUAAAGACUGCAACGUCUGUUGGAAGGUUUUGGAAAGGAAAUUUGUUCCUUGAUCAGUUUGUACCACUUUGGUUAACCCAAAGGUAGUGAAAAACAUAGUCAGUGUUUUCGUAAUGGUCGGCGCGGUGAUCUUCCGCAGGGGAAUUGUCUCUUGAAAACGAGUGGUAACACACACAGUUAGCAAGAACUAAUUAAGAGACUUCGUUUUGGGCAGAGGGCCAACACAAUCCAUAAUGACCUGUGUGAAUGGCUCACUAACGGCAGGAAUAGGUCGUAAGGGGGCCGGAUGCACAACCUGGUUGGGUUUCCCCACAAACUGGCAGGUGCGGCAGGUGUUACAGAAACGCCUCACAUCAGCUUUCAUUCCCGGCCAAAAUAAAUGUUUCAACAUUCGGUCAUGCGUCUUCGUGACACCUAGAUGACCAGACCAUAGAUGCUCAUGCGCUAAUUCUAGCACCUGCUGCCGACACCCAAUUGGAACCACUAGCUGUUGAACCGUGCCCCAAUCCUCAAUUGAAUCUUCUGAUGAUUUGCCCAUCCGUGGAACCCAUUCACGCAUCAACACCUCAUCGUCAACACAGAAGCACUGUUUCCUACUGCCCUUACAGUCGCCUCCCUAUACUGCGGCAAAACACUAUGAUAGGGAAGAAUCCCUUUUCUGAGCACUAAUUAGUGCUUCCUGAGUCAAUGACACUGAUAUUUCAGAAGCACUAACAAACUCUUUCAACUCCUCACUCUCCUUUGAUGUGCAAUCCACCAACCCAUCACCAGGUUGCAACACUUCCUCAGACAACACUGAAGAAAAUAAGGAGUCAGACAACUCAACUUCUUGAGCUAGGGCUAGCUUGAGCCCCAGUCAAAACACUAACCUUAAACACAUCCGGAUGGUGGUUAACCAGGUCAUCAGGUUCUGAGUCAU